UUGGGUAUUGCCAUUUAAACACAAAGUUUGAAGUAAAUUUGAUAGAGGCUCUUAAUAACCCAACGAUUACCUUCAUCCCGCCUAACUGUCGUCAGGGGCGCUUCCGCAUACGUGUGGAAUAAGCCGAGCCAAGGAAGGCAAAUAAGUGGUGCUAAGGUUAAACGAGAUAAACGUAAAUCAAUGGUUGCAGAAACAUUGGGCACAAAAAUCAAGGAGAAGAAACGGAUGGGAUGCCGGCCUACAAAAUACGCACAACAAUCACAGGACACUCCGCCGUCCGAUAAGAAACAGAAAGAACCUACAAGAUACAUUUACUACGAAUAUCAACAAAUAGUUAUGGGUAAACUAUUACUAAUACAUCCUAGGAAGGUGCAUAGUUAUAUUGAACCGUUAUGUGACAUGACACUAAAAAUGAAACAUUUCACACUAUAUGGCCUGUCUAUCAAUUUUAGUCCCCCACCUGGGGUAAGAUAAAAUUGUAUAGUUCGUCAUCAUUUGGGGUUACAAACCAUGUUUCAUAUUAAAAAUUUAUACAUAUGUACGUAAGUAUGUCUGGACUUUAAAUAAAACACCUCACAGCUUUGCUAUUAAUCAAUCCAAAUA